rnacentral:rRNA from 1 species
GACGAACGCUGGCGGCGUGCUUAACACAUGCAAGUCGAACGAAGUGGCGAACGGGUGAGUAACGCGUAAUCAACCUGCCCUUCAGAGGGGGACAACAGUUGGAAACGACUGCUAAUACCGCAUACUGAAGGAGGGGAUUGCGUCUGAUUAGCUAGUUGGAGGGGUCACGGCCCACCAAGGCGAUGCUCAGUAGCAUGUCUGAGAGGAUGAACGGCCAAAUGGGGAUGGAGACACGGCCCAGACGCCGACGGGAGGCAGCAGUGGGGAAUCUUCCGCAAUGGACGAAAGUCUGACGGAGCAACGCCGCGUGAGUGAUGACGGCCUUCGGGUUGUAAAGCGCUGUUAAUCGGGACGCGGUACCGGAAUAGAAAGCCACGGCUAACUACGUGCCAGCAGCCGCGGUAAUUC